UCCCCUAGUAACUGCGAGUGAAGCGGGAAAAGCUCAAAUUUAAAAUCUGGUAGUCUUUGGCUGCCCGAGUUGUAAUCUAGAGAAGCAUUAUCCGCGCUGGACCGUGUACAAGUUCCCUGGAAUGGGGCAUCAUAGAGGGUGAGAAUCCCGUCUUUGACACGGACUACCAGGGCUUUGUGAUGUGCUCUCAAAGAGUCGAGUUGUUUGGGAAUGCAGCUCUAAAUGGGUGGUAAAUUCCAUCUAAAGCUAAAUAUUGGCGAGAGACCGAUAGCGAACAAGUACCGUGAGGGAAAGAUGAAAAGAACUUUGGAAAGAGAGUUAAACAGUACGUGAAAUUGUUGAAAGGGAAACGCUUGAAGUCAGUCGCGUUGGCUGAGGAUCAACCUUGCUUUUGCUUGGUGUACUUCUCAGUUGACGGGUCAGCAUCAAUUUUGACCAGUGGAUAAAGGUCAGGGGAAUGUGGCACCUUCGGGUGUGUUAUAGCCCUUGGUCGUAUACAUUGGUUGGGAUUGAGGAACUCAGCACGCCGCAAGGCCGGGUCUUUGACCACGUUCGUGCUUAGGAUGCUGGCAUAAUGGCUUUAAUCGACCC
rnacentral:rRNA from 1 species